CUGCUCUCACCAGGCGAGGGAGAGAAGCCCUCUGGACAGCUUCUAGAGUGUGCAGGUUCUCGUAUCCCUCGGUCAAGGGUAUCCUCUGUAAACCUCUGCAAACCCAGUGCAACUACGGUCCCCCGGACAGACCCAGGAUGGGACCAGGACGGACAGGGUCCUCGCCGCUGCCGCUGCUGCUGGUGUUAGCGCUCAGUCAAGGCAUUUUAAAUUGUUGUUUGGCAUACAAUGUUGGUCUCCCAGAAGCAAAAAUAUUUUCCGGUCCUUCAAGUGAACAGUUUGGCUAUGCAGUGCAGCAGUUCAUAAAUCCAAAAGGCAACUGGUUACUUGUUGGUUCACCCUGGAGUGGCUUUCCUGAGAACCGAAUGGGAGAUGUGUAUAAGUGUCCUGUCGACCUAUCCACUGCCACAUGUGAAAAACUAAAUUUGCAAACUUCAACAAGCAUUCCAAAUGUUACUGAGAUGAAAACCAACAUGAGCCUCGGCUUGACCCUCACAAGGAACAUGGGAACUGGAGGGUUUCUCACAUGUGGUCCUCUGUGGGCACAGCAGUGUGGGAAUCAGUAUUACACAACGGGUGUGUGUUCUGACAUCAGUCCUGAUUUUCAGCUCUCAGCCAGCUUCUCACCUGCAGCUCAGCCGUGCCCUUCCCUCAUAGAUGUUGUGGUUGUGUGUGAUGAAUCAAAUAGUAUUUAUCCUUGGGAUGCAGUGAAGAAUUUUUUGGAAAAAUUUGUACAAGGCCUGGAUAUAGGCCCCACAAAGACACAGGUGGGGUUAAUUCAGUAUGCCAAUAAUCCAAGAGUUGUGUUUAACUUGAACACAUAUAAAACCAAAGAAGAAAUGAUUGUAGCAACAUCCCAGACAUCCCAACAUGGUGGGGACCUCACAAACACAUUCGGAGCAAUUCAAUAUGCAAGAAAAUAUGCUUAUUCAGCAGCUUCUGGUGGACGACGAAGUGCUACCAAAGUAAUGGUAGUUGUAACUGAUGGUGAAUCACAUGAUGGUUCAAUGUUGAAAGCUGUGAUUGAUCAAUGCAACCAUGACAAUAUACUGAGGUUUGGUAUAGCAGUUCUUGGGUACUUAAACAGAAAUGCCCUUGAUACUAAAAAUUUAAUAAAAGAAAUAAAAGCAAUCGCUAGUAUUCCAACAGAAAGAUACUUUUUCAAUGUGUCUGAUGAAGCAGCUCUACUAGAAAAGGCUGGGACAUUAGGAGAACAAAUUUUCAGCAUUGAAGGUACUGUUCAAGGAGGAGACAACUUUCAGAUGGAAAUGUCACAAGUGGGAUUCAGUGCAGAUUACUCUCCUCAAAAUGAUAUUCUGAUGCUGGGUGCAGUGGGAGCUUUUGGCUGGAGUGGGACCAUUGUCCAGAAGACAUCUCAUGGCCAUUUGAUCUUUCCUAAACAGGCCUUUGACCAAAUUCUGCAGGACAGAAAUCACAGUUCAUAUUUAGGUUACUCUGUGGCUGCAAUUUCUACUGGAGAAAGCACCCACUUUGUUGCUGGUGCUCCUCGGGCAAAUUAUACCGGCCAGAUAGUGCUGUACAGUGUGAAUGAGAAUGGCAAUGUCACAGUUAUUCAGGCUCACCGAGGUGACCAGAUUGGCUCCUAUUUCGGUAGCGUGCUAUGUUCAGUUGAUGUGGAUAAAGACACCAUUACAGAUGUGCUCUUGGUAGGUGCACCAAUGUACAUGAAUGACCUAAAGAAAGAGGAAGGAAGAGUCUACCUGUUUACUAUCAAAAAGGGCAUUUUGAGUCAGCACCAAUUUCUUGAAGGCCCCGAGGGCAUUGAAAAUGCUCGAUUUGGUUCAGCAAUUGCAGCUCUUUCAGACAUCAACAUGGAUGGCUUUAACGAUGUGAUUGUUGGUUCGCCACUAGAAAAUCAGAAUUCUGGAGCUGUAUACAUUUAUAAUGGUCAUCAGGGCACUGUCCGCACGAAGUAUUCCCAGAAAAUCUUGGGAUCCGAUGGAGCCUUUAGGAGCCAUCUCCAGUACUUUGGGAGGUCCUUGGAUGGCUAUGGAGAUUUAAAUGGGGAUUCCAUCACUGAUGUGUCCAUUGGUGCCUUUGGACAAGUGGUUCAACUCUGGUCACAAAGUAUUGCUGAUAUAGCUAUAGAAGCUUCAUUCACACCAGAAAAAAUCACUUUGGUCAAUAAGAAUGCUCAGAUAAUUCUCAAACUCUGCUUCAGUGCAAAGUUCAGACCUACUAAGCAAAACAAUCAAGUGGCCAUUGUAUAUAACAUCACACUUGAUGCAGAUGGAUUUUCAUCCAGAGUAACCUCCAGGGGGUUAUUUAAAGAAAACAAUGAAAGGUGCCUGCAGAAGAAUAUGGUAGUAAAUCAAGCACAGAGUUGCCCCGAGCACAUCAUUUAUAUACAGGAGCCCUCUGAUGUUGUCAACUCUUUGGAUUUGCGUGUGGACAUCAGUCUGGAAAACCCUGGCACUAGCCCUGCCCUUGAAGCCUAUUCUGAGACUACCAAGGUCUUCAGUAUUCCUUUCCACAAAGACUGUGGUGAGGAUGGACUUUGCAUUGCUGAUCUAGUUCUAGAUGUCCGACAAAUACCAGCUGCUCAAGAACAACCCUUUACUGUCAGCAACCAAAACAAAAGGUUAACAUUUUCAGUAACACUGAAAAACAAAAGGGAAAGUGCAUACAACACUGGAAUUGUUGUUGAUUUUUCAGAAAACUUGUUUUUUGCAUCAUUCUCCCUGCCGGUUGAUGGGACGGAAGUAACAUGCCAGGUGGCUGCAUCUCAGAAGUCUGUUGCCUGUGAUGUAGGCUACCCUGCUUUAAAGAGAGAACAACAGGUGACCUUUACUAUUAACUUCGACUUCAAUCUUCAAAACCUUCAGAAUCAGGCAUCUCUCAGUUUCCAAGCCUUAAGUGAAAGCCAAGAAGAAAACGAGCCUGAUAAUUUGGUCAACCUCAAAAUUCCUCUCCUGUAUGAUGCUGAAAUUCACUUAACAAGGUAACAACAGGAAGUGUUCCAGUAAGCAUGGCAACUGUAAUCAUCCACAUCCCUCAAUAUACCAAAGAAAAGAACCCACUGAUGUACCUAACUGGGGUGCAAACAGACAAGGCUGGUGACAUCAGUUGUAAUGCAGAUAUCAAUCCACUGAAAAUAGGACAAACAUCUUCUGUAUCUUUCAAAAGUGAAAAUUUCAGGCACACCAAAGAAUUGAACUGCAGAACUGCUUCCUGUAGUAAUGUUACCUGCUGGUUGAAAGACCUUCACAUGAAAGGAGAAUACUUUGUUAAUGUGACUACAAGAAUUUGGAACGGGACUUUUGCAUCAUCAACGUUCCAGACAGUACAGCUAACGGCAGCUGCAGAAAUCAACACCUACAACCCCGAGAUAUACGUGAUCGAAGAUAACACUGUGACGAUUCCCCUGAUGAUAAUGAAACCUGAUGAGAAAGCCGAAGUACCAAUAGGAGUUAUAAUAGGAAGUAUAAUUGCUGGAAUCCUUUUGCUGUUAGCUCUGGUUGCAAUUUUAUGGAAGCUCGGCUUCUUCAAAAGAAAAUAUGAAAAGAUGACCAAAAAUCCAGAUGAGAUUGACGAGACCACAGAACUCAAUAGCUGAACCAGCAGACCUACCUGCAGUGGGAACUGGCAGCAUCCCAGCCAGAGUUUGCUGUUUGCGUGAAUGGAUUUCUUUUUAAAUCCCCCCCUUUUUUUUUUUUUUUUAAUCAUGUCAUAGGUAAACUAACCUGGUAUUUUAAGAGAAAACUGCAGGUCAGUUUGGCAUGAAGAUAUUGUGGGGGGUUGGGGAGGUGCGGGGAGCGGGUAGGGAUAUAAUGGGUAAAAGACUUAUUUUAUAUGAUGGGGAAAAAAAGUAAUCUUUAAACUGGCUGGCCCAGAGUUUACAUUCUAAUGUGCAUUUUGUCAGAAACAUGAAAUGCUUCCAAGCAUGAUAACUUUUAAAGAAAAAUAUGAUACUCUCAGAUUUUAAGGGAGAAAACCGUUUUCUUUAAAAUACUUGUCUUUAAACAGCAACAACAAAAGCGGAAGUGCCUGAUAUGUAAGUACUUCCACUUGUGUAUAUUUUAAUGACUAUUGAUGUUAACAAAAACACAGGUUGUUUUUCAAUUUAUGCUGCUCAUCCAAAGUUGCCACAGAUGAUACUUCUAAGUGAUAAUUUUAUUUAUAAACUAGGUAAAACUUGUUGUUGGUUCCUUUUAGAGCACGGCUGCCCCUUCCACACCCCAUCUUGCUCUAAUGAUCAAAACAUGCUUGAAUAACUGAGCUUAGAGUAUACCUCCUAUAUGUCCAUUUAAGUUAGGAGAGGGGGCAAUAUAGAGACCAAGGCACAAAAUUUUGUUUAAAACCCAGAAUAUAACAUUUAUGUAAAAUCCCAUCUGCUAGAGGCCCAUCCUGUGCCAGAGGAAGGAAAAGGAGGACAUUUCCUUUCUCUUUUAGGAGGCACAACAGUUACCUUUUAGGACUUGUUUGGGUGACUGGCAGUAACCUAGUGAAUUUCUGAAAGAUGAGUAUUUCUUUGGCAACCUUCCUCCUCUGUUACUGAACCACUCUCCCACCUCUUGGUGGUCCCAUUAUUAGAGAAGCCCUCUACAGCCUGACUUUCUCUCCAGUGGUCCAAAGUUAUCCCCUCCUUUACCCCUCAUCCAAAGUUCCCACUCCUUCAGGACAGCUGCUGUGCAUUAGAUAUUGGGAAAAGUCACCUGUUUAAUUUACACACUUGCAUGAAUUACUGUAUAUAACCUCCUUACCUUCAGGAAGCUAUUUUCAUUUAGUGCUAAACAAGUAAGAAAAAUAAGCUCGAGUGAAUUUCUAAAUGUUGGAACGUGAGGGGAUGUAAACAAUGUAAAGUAAAACAUCUCAGGAUUUCAUGAGAAGUUACAGAUGAGGCACUGGAAGCCACCAAAUUGGCAGGUGCACCCUCUGUGGCUGUCUUGUUUCUGAAGAACUUAAACUUCCACAAGAAAGAAUUUGACCUAGGCAAGUUUGUUCAGAAGGUAGAUCCUGAGAUGAUUUGGUCAGAUUGGGAUAAGGCCCAGCAAUAUGCAUUUUAACAGGCACCCCAGUCACUAGGAUGCAGAUGGACCACACUUUUGAGAAACACCACCCAUUUCUACUUUUCGUACAUAAUUUUCUCUGUUCCUGAGCCCCCACAUUCUCUAGGAGAAACUUAGAGGAAAAGGGCACAGACACUACAUAUCUAAAGCUUUGGACAAGUCCUUGACCUCUAUAAACUUCAGAGUCCUCAUUAUAAAAUGGGAAGACUGAGCUGGAGUUCAGCAGUGAUGCUUUUAGUUUUAAAAGUCUAUGGUCUGGAUUUCUAUAAUACAAAUAGACAAUCUUCCAAGAAUUUGACUUGGAAAAAAAUGUCAGAGGAAAACAGGUUAUCUGCCCAUGUGCAUAUGGACGACCUUGACUGCUCUGGCCCAGCCCCUAUGUUGGCAGUCCAGGGCUGUCUGUACUGUUUACAGAAUUACUUUGUAAUUGACAACACAAAACAAACAAGAAAAGGCAUAAAAUGCCAGGGUUUUAUAGAAAAAAUAGCAUGGUAUUCUCUAGUUAGGUAUGCCAGAGUCCAAUUCUUUUAACAGCUGUGAGAAUUCGCUGUUUUGUUCCAAUGAAAAUUUUAUUUAAAAAAAAAAAAAAAAAGACUAGAGAAACUAGUCAUUAACUUGAUAAAGAAUAUUUAACAGCUAGUGAUGCUGGUGUGUGCCUGCAGCUCCAGCUACUUGGGAGACUGAGACAGGAGGAUCGCUUGAGUCCAGGAGUUCAAGUCCAGCCUAAGCAACAUAGCAAGACCCUGUCUCAAAAAAAUGACUAUUUAAAAAAACAUUGUGGCUGGGAACAGUGGCUCACACCUGUAAUCCCUACACUUUGGGAGGCUGAGGCCAGUGGAUCAUGAGGUCAGGAGUUUGAGACCAGCCUGGCCAAUAUAGUGAAACCCCAUCUCUGCUAAUAACACAAAAAUUAGCUGGGCGUAGUGGCAGGUGCCUGUAAUCCCAGCUACUCGGGAAGCUGACGCAGGAGAAUCACUUGAACCUGGGAUGCGGAGGCUGCAGUGAGCCGAGAUCGUGCCACUGCACUCCAGCCUGGGCGACAGGGCAAGACUCCGUUUAAAAAAAAAAAAAAAAAGAGUUAGUACUGUAUAUAUAAAUAUUAGCUUUUCAAUGUGCUAUACAAAGAAUUAUAGCACAUCCUUCCUUUUAUUUUACUCUGUCUCACCUUCUUUAGGUGAGUACUUCCUUAAAUAAGUACUAAACAUACAUAUACAGAACUUGAAAGCUUUGGUUAGCCUUGCCUUAGAUAAUCAGCCUAGUUUACACUGUUUACAGGGAGUAGUUGAAUUACUAUAAACCAUUAGCCACUUGUCUGUGCACCAUUUAUCACACCAGGGCAGGGUCUCUCAACCUGGGCACUACUGUCAUUUGGGGCCAGGUGAUUCUUCCUUGCAGGGAAUGUCCUGUACCUUGUAGGACAGCAGCCCUGCCCUAUAAGGUAUGAUGUUUAGCAGCAUCCCUGGCCUCUAGCUACUUGAUGCCAGAGCAUCCUCCCCCUGCAGUCAGGACAAUCAAAAAAUGUCUCCAGACAUUGUCAAAUGCCUCCUGGGGGGCAGUAUUUCUCAAGCACUUUUAAGCAAAGGUGAGUAUUCAUACAAGAAAUUCAGGGGAAAAACCAUUUUUUAAAUAAAAGCUAUGUGUUCCUAUUCAACAAUAUUUUUGCUUUAAAAGUCAGUAGAGGGCAUAAAAGAUGUCAAAUUCAAAUUUCCAUUUCAUAAAUGGUAUACAGACAAGGUCUACAGAAUGUGGUAAAAACUUGACUGCCACACAAGGCUUAUAAAAUAGUAAGAUAGUAAAAUAACUUAUGAAGAAACUACAGAGAUUUAAAAUUGUGCAUCACUCAUGUCAGCAGCAAAAUAAGAACUCCUAACUGGACAGAAAUUUUUCUAGCUAGCAAUGUUAUUUUUGUAAAAUAGUUAUCAAAAAUUAUCUUCAAAAUGUGAAGAGUAAAGAAAAUAAAGCCAAUUUAUUAUAGUCACACAAGUGAUUAUACUAAAAAUUGUUAUAAAGUGUAUAAUUUUAUAAUGUAUUUACCUGUCCUGAUAUAUAGCUAUAACCCAAUAUAUGAAAAUCUCAAAAAUUAAGACAUCAUCAUACAGAAGGCAGGAUCCCUUAAACUGAGAUCCCUGAUCCAUCUUUCAUAUUUUAAUUUCCACACAUAAAACAAUUAUAUAAAAAACUUUGUAGGACUAUGCCCUUUUGUGUAUGCACACCCAUUUUAACCAAUUAGAAAAGUUAAUUUAAAAUCUAGAGGUGAAUGAGAAACAUGGGGGAAAAGUGUGAAAUAAGUGAAAAUAUUAACUAUUUCUUUGAACUCUAAAGACUGAAACUGUAGCCAUUAUGUAAAUAUAGUUUCAUAAGUACCUGUUUAUUUUGGCAGAUUGUCAAAAUAUGAAUGUAUAUAUUGCAUAACUAUGUUAGAAUUGUGUAUAUUUUAAAGAAAUUGUCUUGGAUAUUUUCCUUUAUACAUAAUAGAUAAGUCUUUGUUCAAAUGUGUUUGAUGUUUUUGAUUACAUGUGUUUUGCCUCUUUACUUUCCACAAAAACUAUAAAAAUAAAUGCAUGUUUGUACGAAGUUGCAGAAUUCAUUUGAUUUACGAGAAACAAAAAUUAAAUUGUUGUCAACAUAAACUAGUUAAUAGCUUUUCUCAUAUACAAGUAUAACAAACAGAAAAGUUUCAUUAAUUGUAAGCCACUCUUUUCAUACCACAUUAUUGAAUAUUGUUACAAUUGUCUGGAAAAUAAAGUUAUUUUCUUUGGACUUUUA